AUUGAACGCUGGCGGCAGGCCUAACACAUGCAAGUCGAGCGGAUGAAGGGAGCUUGCUCCUGGAUUCAGCGGCGGACGGGUGAGUAAUGCCUAGGAAUCUGCCUGGUAGUGGGGGAUAACGUCCGGAAACGGGCGCUAAUACCGCAUACGUCCUGAGGGAGAAAGUGGGGGAUCUUCGGACCUCACGCUAUCAGAUGAGCCUAGGUCGGAUUAGCUAGUUGGUGGGGUAAAGGCCUACCAAGGCGACGAUCCGUAACUGGUCUGAGAGGAUGAUCAGUCACACUGGAACUGAGACACGGUCCAGACUCCUAGGGGAGGCAGCGGGGGGGAAUUUUGGACAAGGGGCGAAAGCCUGAUCCAGCCAUGCCGGGUGUGUGAAGAAGGUUUUCGGUUUGUAAAGCACUUUAAGUUGGGAGGAAGGGCAGUAAGUUAAAACCUUGCUUUUUUGACUUUACCAACAAAAUAAGCCCCGGCUAACUUCGU
rnacentral:rRNA from 1 species